CGUUCAGGCGGUUUGGCAAGUCGGGCAUGAAAUCUCUCGGCUCAACCGGGAGAGGUUGUCCGAUACUGCUGGACUUGAGGGCAGUAGAGGGUGGUGGAAUUCCGGGUGUAGUGGUGAAAUGCGUAGAUAUCCGGAGGAACACCAGUGGCGAAAGCGGCCACCUGGACUGCACCUGACGCUGACACGCGAAAGCUAGGGGAGCGAACG
rnacentral:rRNA from 1 species